rnacentral:rRNA from 1 species
UACAGAGGGGGCAAGCGUUAUUCGGAAUUAUUGGGCGUAAAGGGCGCGUAGGCGGCCUGGCAAGUGGAUGGUGAAAUCCCUCGGCUUAACCGAGGAACUGCCAUCCAGACUGCUUGGCUUGAGACCGGGAGAGGUGAGUGGAAUUCCCAGUGUAGCGGUGAAAUGCGUAGAUAUUGGGAGGAACACCAGUGGCGAAGGCGGCUCACUGGACCGGUACCGACGCUGAUGCGCGAAAGCGUGGGGAGCAAACCGG